rnacentral:rRNA from 1 species
GACGAACGCUGGCGGCGUGCUUAACACAUGCCAGUCGAACGGUGAAGCGCCUUCCUUUUUGGUGGGUGUGGAUGAGUGGCGAACGGGUGAGUAACACGUGAGUAACCUGCCCCCUUCUUCUGGAUAACCGCAUGAAAGUGUGGCUAAUACGGGAUAUUCUGGGUCUGUCGCAUGAUGGGUCUGGGAAAGAUAUUGUUUCGGUGGGGGAUGGGCUCGCGGCCUAUCAGCUUGUUGGUGGGGUGAUGGCCUACCAAGGCGGUGACGGGUAGCCGGCCUGAGAGGGUGGACGGGCACACUGGGACUGAGACACGGCCCAGACUCCUACGGGAGGCAGCAGUGGGGAAUAUUGCACAAUGGGCGCAAGCCUGAUGCAGCGACGCCGCGUGAGGGAUGGAGGCCUUCGGGUUGUGAACCUCUUUCGCCAGUGAAGCAGGCCUGCCUCGUUUGUGGGUGGGUUGACGGUAGCUGGAUAAGAAGCGCCGGCUAACUACGUG